AGUUGGUGGAGUGAUUUGUCUGCUUGAUUGCGUUAACGAACGAGACCUCGAGGAUUAAAUAACUAGCUUUAAGACUUGUUCGUAAUGUUAGUUUCUUAAUUCGACAAUCUGUUUCAAGCAGAGGGAAGCGCGAGGCGAUAUCAGGU
rnacentral:rRNA from 1 species